rnacentral:rRNA from 1 species
GAUGAACGCUAGCGAUAGGCCUAACACAUGCAAGUCGAGGGGCAUCACAUGAAGUAGCAAUACGGAUGGUGGCGACCGGCGCACGGGUGAGUAACACGUAUGCAACCUGCCUUCAACAAGGGGAUAACCCGUUGAAAGACGGACUAAUACCCUAUAACACAGGGGUCCCGCAUGGGAAUAUUUGUUAAAGGACAACCGGUUGAAGAUGGGCAUGCGUUCCAUUAGCUAGUUGGCGGGGUAACGGCCCACCAAGGCAACGAUGGAUAGGGGAACUGAGAGGUUUAUCCCCCACACUGGUACUGAGACACGGACCAGACUCCUACGGGAGGCAGCAGUGAGGAAUAUUGGUCAAUGGACGCAAGUCUGAACCAGCCACGUCGCGUGAAGGAAGACGGCCCUACGGGUUGUAAACUUCUUUUAUACGGGAAUAAAGUGCCCCACGCGUGGGGUUUUGCAUGUACCGUAUGAAUAAGGAUCGGCUAACUCCGUGCCAGCAGCCGCGGUAAUU